UGCCAGCCGCCGCGGUAAUACAGAGGUGGCAAGCGUUGUUCGGAUUUACUGGGCGUAAAGGGUGCGUAGGCGGUUUUGUGUGUCAGAUGUGAAAGCCCAUGGCUCAACCAUGGAAUUGCAUUUGAAACUGCAGAACUUGAGUAUCGGAGAGGUAGAUGGAAUUCUAGGUGUAGCGGUGAAAUGCGUAGAUAUCUAGAAGAAUACCAGCGGCGAAAGCGAUCUACUGGACGAAUACUGACGCUGAGGCACGAAAGCCAGGGGAGCGAAGAGGAUUAGAUA
rnacentral:rRNA from 1 species